UUUUCCCGUUGAUCCUGCCGGACCUUACUGCUAUCGGGAUAAGACUAAGCCAUGCAAGUCGAACGCUCUUUAGCUAUGUUAAGAGCGCGGCGAACAGCUCAGUGACACUUAGUUAACCUACCCUUAAGUUGGUGAUAACCCCGGGAAACUGGGAUUAAUACCCAAUAGAUGAUAGCGCCUGGAAUGGUCUAUCAUCGAAAGACUCUGGAAACAUGCUUCCAGCGUUGCUCAAGGAUGGGACUGAGUCCGAUCAGGUUGUUGGUGGGGUAACGGCCCACCAAGCCUAUAACCGGUACGGGCCCUGAGAGGGGUAGCCCGGAGAUGGAAACUGAGAUAAGGUUCCAGGUCCUACGGGGUGCAGCAGGCGCGAAAACUCCACAAUGCGCGAAAGCGUGAUGGGGUUAUCCCGAGUGCCGUCCGAUGAGGAUGGCUUUUCCCCGGUGUAAGAAUCCGGGGGAAUAAAGGGGGGGCAAGACUGGUGUCAGCCGCCGCGGUAAUACCAGCCCCCUGAGUGGUAAGGACGAUUAUUUGGCCUAAAGCGUUCGUAGCCGGCUUAGUAAGUCUCUUGUUAAAUCCAAUGAUUCAAUCAUUGGGCCGCAAGAAAUACUGCUUUGCUAGAGGACGGGAGAGGUUGACGGUAGUCCAAGGGUAGGGGUGAAAUCCUAUAAUCCUUGGAGGACCACCAGUGGCGAAGGCGGUCAACUAGAACGUGCCUGACGGUGAUGGACGAAAGCUGGGGGAGCGAACCGGAUUAGAUACCCGGGUAGUCCCAGCUGUAAACGAUGCGGGCUAGGUGUUGGAGUAGCCACGAGCUACUCCAGUGCCGCAGAGAAGUUGUUAAGCCCGCCGCCUGGGGAGUACGGCCGCAAGGCUGAAACUUAAAGGAAUUGGCGGGGGAGCACCACAAGGGGUGAAGGCUGCGGUUCAAUUGGAGUCAACGCCGGGAAUCACUAGU
rnacentral:rRNA from 1 species